GUGGAAAUACAACUAACGACAGAUAGCCCUUCUUCAAGUAGCAAUUGCAGUACUCUUGAAAUAUGCAAAACUUGCUUCCCAAAGCCACUAUUGAUCACGACCUCAACCCCAACAAAAGAUGAGCGUACCACUACAGAAGUUGGUGCCAAGCUAUUUAAACUCUCAACCUCAGCCUCAUGGCCAAGAACCCUCAAACUGGAUAGGUUUUUCAUCUCAUCUCGGUGGACACUAAGUUCUUUAAUCUUCUUUUGCAGGUCUUUUAUAUAUUUCACUGUUUGGUGGAUGUGAUCUGAUAUUGCACGCUUUCCCUUGAUAUAUUCAAGAGGUAGCAGAUUUCUAAGAGAAGUGUAAAGGGUGGCCAUAUCUUGCCUUCUUCGUCUCUCAAUGUCUCUAUGCAUGGUCCUCUUGGUACUACUUUCAGCAGAGUUCUCAUCUUUCUUGUGACUAAAACAUGGGUUUCGCUGCUGGUCUUUUCCCUUUUUAUUCUUCUUGCUUGGGUCAAUGCCAUCCACUGUAGAAUGACCCUGCAGAAUGAGGAUCAGAUCUUGUGGAAUUGUGUUUUCCUGGUACGGAGUAGAAGAAAUCUCGAAGGACAGUUCGUUGUUUUGGUGUGAGGGAAACAUGGCGGCACUGAAGAGGUGUAUGCAAUUAUUUGGGCGUUUCUUUUUCUGCCCCCAUACAAGAGAGUAAAUUGGGUUGGGACAAAGAAUGGAUGCGUUUGUUAGGGUUUGAGAUAAAGGAUGGAGGCCAACAAGGCCAAGAUUCCA
rnacentral:misc_RNA from 1 species